rfam:Ipomoea nil DNA, scaffold: scaffold2283, cultivar: Tokyo-kokei standard.
GGGUGUUUGGUCUAGUGGUAUGAUUCUUGCUUUGGGUACAAAAGGUUGUGAGUGCGAUUCUCACAACACCCC